rnacentral:rRNA from 1 species
CCUACGGGAGGCAGCAGUGAGGAAUAUUGGUCAAUGGGCGUAAGCCUGAACCAGCCAAGUCGCGUGAGGGAUGAAGGUUCUAUGGAUUGUAAACCUCUUUUAUCAGGGAAUAAAGUGUGGGUCGAGACCUAUUCUGUGUGUACCUGAUGAAUAAGGAUCGGCUAACUCCGUGCCAGCAGCCGCGGUAAUACGGAGGAUCCGAGCGUUAUCCGGAUUUAUUGGGUUUAAAGGGUGCGUAGGCGGGCUUUUAAGUCCGCGGUGAAAGGCUGUGGCUCAACCAUAGAAUUGCCGUUGAAACUGGGGGGCUUGAGUAGGUUUGAGGUAGGCGGAAUGCGCGGUGUAGCGGUGAAAUGCUUAGAUAUCACGCAGAACCCCGAUUGCGAAGGCAGCCUGCCAGGCCAUGACUGACGCUGAUGCACGAAAGCGUGGGGAUCGAACAGGAUUAGAUACCCCAGUAGUC